rnacentral:rRNA from 1 species
ACAUGCGACCAUACCCACUGGAGAACUCGGGAUCCCGUCCGCUCUCCCAUCGAUAAACCAGCGAGGGCCGAAGUAGUAGUUGGGUCGGAGACGACCAGCGAAUGCUCGGUGUUGCAUGUG